rnacentral:lncRNA from 1 species
UCUGUGUAUUUUGUCUUUAUGUAAGUUGUUUAAUUUUUUUGCUCCGUGCAGAUCGGAUUAGCUCAGCUAUUUUCAACUCAUUUUUACAGUUUAAUAUUCUUUAUUUGUGUUGUAACACCACUGUACCAGGUUAGGGGAUAGUUGCAAACAUGUUCAACCCAGUCAUAUUCUAUACCUGUCUUUCCCAAAUCAGGUGCCUAUUCAUUGGUUGUCGUUGAUUGCUGCAUGUACGUCUUAAUGUGCUUUUGUUUCUUGUUUUGUCAUAAAUCGCGUUUUUUUUAUUUGAAUUGUUUCACAUUUUUCUAUGAUGGUCUUUUUGUAUCUGGUUAUGAUGUAAAAUUCAUUGCUGAUGGCUGCAGAGUUAUCUUUAGUAGCCUAAAGCCGCUUCUUUUGGAUUCUUUCUAUUGAAUAGUUGUCUAAUUAGCAAUCACAGUACAUCGCUUUAU